CCGACUGGGCAACGAUUUUCCAGUUUCGCUAUCGCUGUAGCUUCAGCAGGGAAAGAGAUCUACUUCUAGCCGGUAAGGGGUUUUAAGAGAGAGUUGAGCAAG